rnacentral:tRNA from 1 species
GCCCAAGUGGCGAAAUUGGUAGACGCACGGCACUCAAAAUGCCGCGGCCGUGAGGUCAUGUCGGUUCGAGUCCGACCUUGGGCACCA